AUUGAACGCUGGCGGCAUGCCUAACACAUGCAAGUCGAACGGCAGCACAGUAGGUAGCAAUACCUAUGGGUGGCGAGUGGCGGACGGGUGAGUAAUGCUUAGGAAUCUGCCUUAUGGUGGGGGAUAACUAACCGAAAGGUUAGCUAAUACCGCAUACGCCCUUACGGGGAAAGCGGGGGAUCGAAAGACCUCGCGCCAAUAGAUGAGCCUAAGUCCGAUUAGCUAGUUGGUAGGGUAAAGGCCUACCAAGGCGACGAUCGGUAGCUGGUCUGAGAGGACGGCCAGCAACACUGGAACUGAGACACGGUCCAGACUCCUACGGGAGGCAGCAGUGGGGAAUAUUGGACAAUGGGGGAAACCCUGAUCCAGCAAUGCCGCGUGUGUGAAGGAGGCCUGCGGGUUGUAAAGCACUUUCGGUUGGGAAGAAAAGUUUGGCGCUAAUACCGCCGAACCUUGACGUUACUGACAGAAGAAGCACCGGCUAACUCUGUGCCAGCCGCCGCCGUAA
rnacentral:rRNA from 1 species